rnacentral:rRNA from 1 species
AUGCCUCGUCUCCCGUACAACGUCCGCAGUCAGUGGGACAAGAAUAAUCCCCAGGGAAUUAUCUACGGCGAUGGCACGAUCCUGCUCUACAGCAGCAGCAUCACCAACGUCAGCUAUGAUCAUUCCAUCAGGGCCAUGUUUACGGCGGCUCGCCUGCACCCUGGGGACUCAAAGUGGACUCUCAUCCACAGGACUUUUGAUGACGUCAAACACUUGGAGUGCCGUGCUGCGUACCACGGAGGCAGGAUCCUGGUCACUAUGGGGACCGGUAGUAUCUUGCAGGUCAUCACGCCAGAAGCCGCUGCCACCGGUGACUUGUUGGUCCCUGGCGAAUACAAGUGCAAGGACUGCUACGUCUUUGAGUCGCAUGGCGAGCUGUUAUGGGCAUCGGUUCGCACCUCCUACAGUGUUUCCUGCAAAGAAGGUACCCGCAGCGUUGAUGCCCUAUGGGUGUUGGUGCAUAAGCUAGAGGAGGAGGACGCGGGGGCGCAAGGGAAGAAGAUGCGGUGGGUGAGAAAAGAUAAGUGUAGCCUGGCGGAUCGUGUGUUGUUUCUUGGGUCGCCCAAUAGCUUCGCCAUAGACGCCUCGCGGCUGGGCAGCCAUGGUGGCUGCGCCUACUUCGUCUACGACAACAGUAAGGGCCACUGUAAGGCCUUCCCGCCUGGACAUUGUGGCGUUUUCAGGUACAACUUCCUCAAUGCCAAGACUGAUUUCGUAGAGCGGCUACCUCCAGGAUGGGAUGACGAGAGGUGCACGUGGCUCGUCCCGCAACCCGCUAUUGCUCCAAUUCAGGUAUAUACACUAGUAAAAGAGUUCAAAUUGAUAUGUUUUUAUAAUAGAAUAUUUCAUUAA